rnacentral:rRNA from 1 species
UACGGAGGGAGCUAGCGUUGUUCGGAAUUACUGGGCGUAAAGCGCACGUAGGCGGCUUUGUAAGUUAGAGGUGAAAGCCCGGGGCUCAACUCCGGAACUGCCUUUAAGACUGCAUCGCUUGAAUCCGGGAGAGGUGAGCGGAAUUCCGAGUGUAGAGGUGAAAUGCGCAGAUAUCAGGAGGAACACCGGUGGCGAAGGCGGAUCUCUGGGCCUUACCUGACGCUGAGGCGCGAAAGCUAGGGGAGCAAACAGG